rnacentral:rRNA from 1 species
AGCGAACGUUAGCGGCGGGCUUAACACAUGCAAGUCGAGCGAGAACGGGGCAACCCUAGUACAGCGGCGGACGGGUGAGUAACACGUAGGUAACUUUCCCUUGAGCGGGGGACAACGGUCCGAAAGGACCGCUAAUACCGCAUACGUUCUUCUGGUCUUAGGGCUGGGAGAGGAAAGCUAGGCUAGCAAUAGUCCGGCACUCAAGGAGAGGCCUGCGUAGCAUCAGCUAGUUGGUGGGGUAAUGGCCUACCAAGGCAAAGACGCUUAGCUGGUCUGAGAGGAUGAUCAGCCACACUGGGACUGAGACACGGCCCAGACUCCUACGGGAGGCAGCAGUGGGGAAUAUUGGACAAUGGACGAAAGUCUGAUCCAGCGACGCCGCGUGGAGGAAGAAGUCCUUCGGGUAGUGUAAACUACAUGAAGCUAACGAAUAAAGAACGGAAGGGGAACCGUUACCGGGACGGAAGGUAAGUUAAGUUAGAAAAGGACCCCGGACCGUAACCUAACGUAGCCACGCGAGCCGCGGUAAACCGUACGUCGUCUACU